UUCCUGUACUAUCCUGUAACAGAACUGUGGGGACACAGGCAGAGAGCGUGAGCCGGGAAUGGAAAGACCGGUACAAGCGGGGUAGGUGUGUGACAGGCAAAUCCGUCAUAUAAGCCGAAGACGUGAUGUGGAGCGAAAUUAAGUAGUGAAGUAUGUGAGCCAUGUGCCGAGAAAAGCCGCUAUUGUUUUAUAUGUGCCCGUACCGUAAACCGACACAGGUAUGCGGGGAGAGAAUCCUAAGGUGCGCGGGAGAACCCUCGUUAAGGAACUCGGCAAAAUGUACCCGUAACUUCGGGAUAAGGGUAGCCGCUGUUGUGAAGUCUGAACAGACGGAGCAUGAGGCGGUCGCAGAGAAGAGGCCCAAGCGACUGUUUACCACAAACACAGGUGCCUGCUAAAGAGAAAUCUGACGUAUAGGUGCUGACACCUGCCCAGUGCCGGAAGGUUAAGGAAGGAUGUCCGGAGCAAUCCAAAGCAUUCGACCGAAGCCCCGGUGAACGGCGGCCGUAACAAUAAC
rnacentral:rRNA from 17 species